UAGGUCACAGGACCUUAGCACACAUAGGCUGGAGGAUAUACUGAGACAUUUAGAAAAACCUUUCAGGCCUUGCAGAGCAGCAGGAAGCUGUGAUGCUAAAUGCCUGGGUUCUGCACCCUCUUGUCCCUAUGUUGGUGUUCAGCAGACUAAUAUGUCUGAAAAUGGCAAUAUAUAUGGACCUCAGGAACCAUUCUCACUACAGUCAUAAAGAAAGCCCAAAGAAGUCAAAGAGAGAUGAUCUGGGUGUGGUAGCCAUCCCAGGCCUGGGAGGCAGGAGGCACCCAAGGAUAGCCUCAGCUAUACAAGGCAGCUAGGCCUCAGAGGAGGAAGGGGAAGAGGAAGAGGAGGAGGAGGAGGAAGAAUUCUUUAAUGGAGACAGGGGAAAGGUAUGUAUACAUUCUAGU